GGCAGAGAGCCAGAGUGGUCUAAUGGUUUGGGCGCUGGACUAGGAGGCCAGAGUUCGAAUCCCAGCUCAGCUA